rnacentral:lncRNA from 1 species
GUUAAGCACCUUCACACUGCUGAAAUCUGUGAAAAUUAAUACUGUGUCUUCACGUACCUUCCGGGGAUCCUAUGUCACAGUGGAAGGAUUUAGCAAAAAGCGCAACUAACUGGAUUAGGCAGCAGCACGCUUACGUUGCAGCAACUUGGACUUGCCACCUUGCUGGGAUGGCCAGAUGGGGAAUGAGAUGGGACUGUGUGAUAUCCUUCAUGUUCUCCUGGCAGUGUUACAGUGGAGUGGAAAGCAGAGAGAACUUCGAGUGGCCACUCAAAUGUAGGUCCAUUUGCUACGUUGAAGCAUAUUCCAAGAGGGCACGAGGGUUCUGGAACAAGACUAUUGUGCGAUACAGACAAAGGGAGCCAGGUAGAGUACUUUAACUAAAGAUCAAGAUCAUCCCUGGCAGUCAAGGCUUGCCCUCUUUUAAUUCCACUUCUUCUUUCCCCCGUCAAGAAGGAAUGGAUUCUGCCAAUGGAUUGUGCAGGUUUUCGGGGGGGGUUUUGGAAGCACUGGCUCAUGAGAAACUGGAAAUGAGCUGGAUAAUGUGCAUUACCUCCACUGCACAUCCAUAUACAGUCAAAAAUAUACCCACUUACAGGUCAUUCCACCUUCUGUGCAAAUAUUAUGUCACUGAUUCUUGUCUCAGCAUUUCCAUGAAUGAGCAAAGAUGAUACUGUUAGCUUGAAAGAGCUAGUUUUCAGUGUUAUUCCCCACCCCACCUGCCAUCUGAAACGGUGGGAGGGACGAUUUUAACUGUAACUUGCAUAGAGAGACAUUGUGAAUGGAGCAAGACGUGACAUCGCUACUGAGAGGAGAAGCAGGUGAUCUGAGGAGGAGUUUCCACUCUUGUGAUUGCUUGAGAAAGUUUGACUGUGCCUGAUGCCAUCGUAGCAGCAGUGACCAGGAUUUGAACCAGCCACUGGUUACUCAAAACCUCACAGAAUAAGGAAGCUUCACUGCAUAGUCAAACUGAAGAGAUUUGCCUAAUGACUUGCAAACCACCUGCAGUGUGUGGGUGUUUGAUGAAUCUUCACACCUGCCUAUUAUAAGUCAUUUUAUUUUUACAGUCUUAGGCCUUGUAACGCAAUGAAAGUUAAAAGCCAGCCCAGAAGGAGAAAAAGUCUGUUUGCUCUGUACCUGUCUGGCUUGUGUGCCUCAGAUAUUCAGUGGUCUGCCAUCCUUUUCUCUUGGCAGAAGGGAUAACUUUGGCUAGGCUGGGGGUCAGAAAGGGCUAGAAAACCUGCCAUGCCAUCUCCAAGCAUCAAGUACCUGCUCUUGCUAAGGUAGCUAGGAGAGACCAGUCCUCAUGGUGACCACAGAAAUAGCUGAUGGGGUGGUGCAGUGAUGGAUCUGAAAAGAAACAGGGGCUGGUCAGAAACA